UGGCUCAGUGGUAAAGCGCUUGCCUUCCAUGUAUGAGGCCCUGGGUUCGAUUCCCCAG
rnacentral:tRNA from 1 species